rnacentral:rRNA from 1 species
GACAGAGGGUGCGAACGUUGCUCGGAAUUACUGGGCGUAAAGCGCGUGUAGGCGGUCUCGCAAGUCCGGUGUGAAAGCCCGGGGCUCAACCCCGGAAGUGCACUGGAUACUACGGGGCUGGAGUCCUGAAGAGGAGGGCGGAAUUCCCGGUGUAGAGGUGAAAUUCGUAGAUAUCGGGAGGAACACCAGUGGCGAAGGCGGCCCUCUGGACAGGAACUGACGCUGAGACGCGAAAGCGUGGGUAGCAAACAGG